GCUCUAGUAGCUUAAUCAUAAAGCGCCGGUCUUGUAAUCCGGAGACUGAAGGUUAAAAUCCUUCCUAGUGCC
rnacentral:tRNA from 1 species